rnacentral:rRNA from 1 species
GACGAACGCUGGCGGCGUGCUUAACACAUGCAAGUCGAACGGAAAGGCCCUGCUUGCAGGGUACUCGAGUGGCGAACGGGUGAGUAACACGUGGGUGGUCUGCCCUGCACUUCGGGAUAAGCCUGGGAAACUGGGUCUAAUACCGGCUAGGAGCCAUUUUUAGUGUGAUGGUUGGAAAGUUUUUUCGGUGUAGGAUGAGCUCGCGGCCUAUCAGCUUGUUGGUGGGGUAAUGGCCUACCAAGGCGGCGACGGGUAGCCGGCCUGAGAGGGUGGACGGCCACAUUGGGACUGAGAUACGGCCCAGACUCCUACGGGAGGCAGCAGUGGGGAAUAUUGCACAAUGGGCGCAAGCCUGAUGCAGCGACGCCGCGUGGGGGAUGACGGCCUUCGGGUUGUAAACUCCUUUCGCUAGGGACGAAGCUUUUUGUGACGGUACCUAGAUAAGAAGCACCGGCUAACUACGUG